UACGAAGGGUGCAAGCGUUACUCGGAAUUACUGGGCGUAAAGCGUGCGCAGGCGGUUUUGUAAGUCUGUCGUGAAAUCCCCCGGGCUCAACCUGGGAAUUGCGAUGGAGACUGCAAGGCUAGAAUCUGGCAGAGGGGGGUAGAAUUCCACGUGUGAGCAGUGAAAUGCGUAGAGAUGUGGAGGAACACCGAUGGCGAAGGCAGCCCCCUGGGUCAAGAUUGACGCUCCAUGCACGAAAGGCGUGGGGAUCGAAACAGG
rnacentral:rRNA from 1 species